CUUUGUUUGAAGCCUGGUGGCUGCAGGGAGGGUUGUGUGUGCAGAGUGGUGUUGCAGCUGAAACAUCAGUGAUCUUGAGGCGUGCUGCUUAGGCCAACAUUGGACAGGAGCUGACCGUGUGCCGUUCCCCAGUGUGGGACAGGGCAGCCAUAUUAUUUAUUGGUGGAAAAUUCCCCAAGGUGGAAAGGUAUUACAAUUUUGAAUGGUAAAAUAGGAGGUCUAGUCCCUCUUUUUGCUACUGUCAUGUUUACACUGUCAAUUCCCCCCUCUAGCCUGGUUGCCAGACUGCUGCUUUGCCUGGAUGAAAUCUAACACUGUUUUGCCGGGAUUAAUGUUGGAGGGUCCUCUUGUGUUUCCAGCCAGAUUGUAGUGAAUUGUGAAAAUGUACCUGCGACCCCUAAGAUUGUUCCAGGAAUGUCAAUGUUGGACUUUGUACUGUUUUGGAAUGGAAGAUGUCUUUUUAACUAGUGUAUUAUCAACUGACUUUUAGUGUAGUUUUGCUUUGUGUUUUCUAGGCAGUGUGGAGACCCGCGGGGAGCACUUGGGCCCCUCUGGCUUGCCGUGUGAUUGUGGUUUAUGAUUUGAUGGUGGUGGUCACUUGGUGUCUGUUUUCUCUUUUUUUAUUUAUUCUUAGGAUCGUGUGGCGUGCAGUGUGCUCAUAUGCAUGGGUGUACCCUGGGCUGCAUUUGAACCUCCCCGCAGGAGUCCCACUGCCCCCUUUUCUUCUCUCCUGUAGUUUUUAGGGCAGAUGCCUCAUCUCGCAGUUAAUAUUGUCUUUUA